UACGGAGGGUGCGAGCGUUGUCCGGAAUUACUGGGCGUAAAGGGCUCGUAGGCGGCCAACUAAGUCAGACGUGAAAUCCCUCGGCUUAACCGGGGAACUGCGUCUGAUACUGGAUGGCUUGAGGUUGGGAGAGGGAUGCGGAAUUCCAGGUGUAGCGGUGAAAUGCGUAGAUAUCUGGAGGAACACCGGUGGCGAAGGCGGCGUCCUGGACCAACACUGACACUGAGGAGCGAAAGCCAGGGGAGCAAACGGG
rnacentral:rRNA from 1 species